CGAAUGCGCGGCCGCACGUGGCGAGGUGGCUCGAAUUGAUUCGCCAAUGAAAAUAUUAGGGCCGGCGGCGCACACCCGGCGACCGCGGACAGGUUGCCGCAAGUGCCAGUGACACUUGCCGUCCUGACGCUCACUCCGAGUGACGUAGUGGUUGCAUUAAUCUAUAUUCAAUUUAAUACGUAUUGAAAGUAAAAUAACAAAAACAAUAUAUAUUUAUAGUUACAGUGACAUGUGCCGGUAGCUGGCGUACAUCCACAGCUACUGGUGGCCGAGACUUGACGAUACGAUUACGAAGAAGAUGUAUGAAGGUACUUACGUUCCUCCUCUCCCUCCCCGUAGACCGAGGGCGGGGUGGGGGGUUCUUCGGGUUCAACGUACUCAGCUUCCCGCUCGCCUGCUGCACGGUACAGCUCCGACCUCGCCUCUAUCACGUCCCGCACGAUUUCUGCAGGUCCUUACCUCUCUCGACGCGCUCGAGCAGGUAUCCCUGGUCUCUCAGGCCAGCCAGCACGGAAGGCAGCAGCUCGGCCACGUAGCCUUGCACCAGGACCGCCGCAGCGGCGCGCUCGCGGGCCUCCGUCGCCGCUA